rnacentral:rRNA from 1 species
GAGCGAACAGGGAAGAGUCCAGCGCCGAAUCUCGCGUCCGUGGGGCGUCGAGAAAUGUGGCGUUACGGGGCGGCCGCUUCCCGCGAGCACGUAAUUUUUUUCGCGCUCCAAGUCCUCUUGAACGGGGCCACGGCCCGUAGAGGGUGCCAGGCCCGUAUGGGCGCGCGUGCGAGCGGGAGGCCGCGAAUCCCAAGAGUCGGGUAGCUUGAGAUCGCUGCCCCAAGCCGGUGGUAAACUCCAUCUAAGGCURAAUAYGACCGCRAGACCGAUAGCGAACAAGUACCGUGAGGGAAAGUUAAAAAKAAUUUGAARAGAGAGUUMAAGAGUACGUGAAACCGCUCAGAGGUAAACGGAAGGUGCUCUAGCAGACUGUUGCCGCGGGAAACUCAUCACGCCUCUGCGUUCCCGUCUGGUUCUGCGUCACCGCGGCGUCGUCGUCGGGUCCUCGCGGCUCGUCGCGCGUGCGUUUGCGGAGACUGGCGCCUGAGCUUGUACGUCGGAGCGUUCGGUGACGUGUGCACUUUUCCCGCGGCGGACGCGUCGCGAUUCGUCGACGCAGGCGUGGUCGAGGCCCGGGUUCUCGCUCGUCUCGGGCGGGGUGCGUCGCUUCGCGGCGUAGCUCGCGCCGGGGCGUCGGCCCGGUGUUUGCCGGUCGGUGCGCGGCUCCCGCAAGGGGGCGCGCUGGCCCCGGCUUUCCUGGCCGCCUGUCGACGGUAUCGAAACAAAGUGGAAGACGAUGCGCGGCUAUACUCUAGCCGCGCCGCCCUCGGGUUUUGUCCGUGGCGUUGCCGCGGGGGGGCGUCGCCCGCGGGCUUACUGUCGGGAGCGAUCCCGGCGACCGCGGGAUGUCGCGUUCCUCCGUAUAUACGGUAGCGUCCGGCCCCGUCGGGGCUGGGAGUUUGAGAGCCUAGCCAAGGCUCCUCCGCCACCCAUCAGCGGCGUAAGUCUAGGGCCGACCUUCCGACCCGUCUUGAAACACGGACCAAGGAGUCUAACAUGUGCGCAAGUCAAUGGGAGUUUUCGAACCCCAUAGGCGCAAUGAAAGUGAGGUCAGGGGCCGAAGGAGGGCGCAAGCUCUCGUUCGGCGCCCAGAGUUAUUUUUUUUUAUGUCUGAUGAGGGGCGAUAGCCGCGGCCUAGGGUUGCGCGCGCCUUGCGCGCGCGCUUCCCGCCUACGGCCCGCAACCCCUGGGCGUCGUCGCGGCCCGCCUUCGGGCGGCUCGGGCGGCGUACCGAAAGCGUACACGUUGGUACCCGAAAGAUGGUGAACUAUGCCUGGCCAGGACGAAGCCAGGGGAAACCCUGGUGGAGGUCCGUAGCGAUUCUGACGUGCAAAUCGAUCGUCUGAGCUGGGUAUAGGGACGAAAGAUCAAUCGAACCAUCUAGUAGCUGGUUCCCUUCGAAGUUUCCCUCAGGAUAGCUGGCGCUCGCACGAAGGAAAUAAUACGAUGAGAAGGAGUCUCAUCCGGUAAAGCGAAUGAUUAGAGGCCUUAGGGCCGAAACGACCUUAACCUAUUCUCAAACUUUAAAUGGGUGAGAACGUCGGCAUCCUUAAUAGAUGAUGCCGGCGUGAGGAUCUUGAGUGCCCAGUGGGCCACUUUUGGUAAGCAGAACUGGCGCUGUGGGAUGAACCAAACGCCGAGUUAAGGCGCCUAAAUCGACGCUCAUGGGAUACCAUGAAGGGCGUUGUUUGCUAAAGACAGCAGGGUGGUGGCCAUGGAAGUCGGAAUCCCCUAAGGAGUGUGUAACAACUCACCUGCCGAAGCAACUAGCCCUGAAAAUGGAUGGCGCUGAAGCGUCGUGCCUAUACUCGACCGCCGGGCCACGGCGGGCGCGCGACUUACACUCGCGCGCCUCUUAGGGCCCGGCGAGUAGGAGGGUCGCGGCGGCGAGCGCAGAAGGGUAGGGCGCGAGCCCGCCUGGAGCCGCCGUCGGCGCAGAUCUUGGUAGUAGUAGCAAAUACUCUAGCGAGACCCUGGAGGGCUGAGGUGGAGAAGGGUUUCGUGUGAACAGCCGUUGCACACGAGUCAGUCGAGCCUAAGCUCUAGGAGAGAUCCGAUGCCGAUGGCGUCGCAAGACACACUGUGUGAUGUUUUGACGCCACGAGCGAAAGGGAAUCCGGUCCCUAUUCCGGAACCCGGCCGCGGAACCGUCUCACGUCGGGCCCCCGACCUACGGGUCGGAAGCUCGUCGGGGUAACCCAAACUGACCCGGAGAAGCCGUCGGGAGGUCGGGGAAGAGUUUUCUUUUCUGUUUGAGCGCUCGAGUUCCCUGGAAUUGCCUAGCGCAGAGAGAGGGAAUGGAGCGCGUAGAGCACCGCAGUGC